UUUGUUGCAUUUAUCUGUUUGAUUGGUGUUUUUUUCUCAGAUUUACUUUGUCGUUCGUAUUUUUGUUCUUCUACAUAGUAAAGGUUGAAUCUUUUAAACUUUCACUCUUUGACGACGACAAUAAAGACAUAUAGAUAUAUCAAUGGACACUCACUACACCAAGUUUAAAGUUUACUAGCUGCAAAGUUUAAAGAUGGUUUCAUUACAGUUCAUUUACAAGAAAAGGUAACUUCUGCAUCUUUCAAAGCAUACUCAAGUGUGAAAAGAUAACAACAGAUUUCUUGUCGCACACCUUUUGGCUGCAGCAUGCAACAGUUAAUCAUUUCCAAAACAUUCAAUGCUCUCUUGUGGUCUUCUCACACCAAUUUUUUAUU